rnacentral:lncRNA from 1 species
CCUCUUGCAAACUCAGGUCAAGAUUAAUAAAGAAAAUACAAUGUAAGAAGAAGGAGAAUCAGCAACAAAAGUGGUUACUGAUUUAGGAACAUCCUGAACUUGGAAAUGGAUACUCCUUUGGGAUGCC